rnacentral:rRNA from 1 species
UACGAAGGUGGCAAGCGUUGUUCGGAUUCACUGGGCGUACAGGGAGCGUAGGCGGUUGGGUAAGCCCUCCGUGAAAUCUCCGGGCCUAACCCGGAAAGUGCAGAGGGGACUGCUCAGCUAGAGGAUGGGAGAGGAGCGCGGAAUUCCCGGUGUAGCGGUGAAAUGCGUAGAGAUCGGGAGGAAGGCCGGUGGCGAAGGCGGCGCUCUGGAACAUUUCUGACGCUGAGGCUCGAAAGCGUGGGGAGCAAACAGGAUUAGAUACCCUGGUAGUCCACGCCUUAAACUAUGGAUACUAAGUGUCGGCGGUUUACCGUCGGUGCCGCAGCUAACGCAAUAAGUAUCCCGCCUGGGAAGUACGGCCGCAAGGUUG